GCCGUCUUAGCUCAGUCGGUAGAGCGACGCUCUCGUAAAGCGUAGGUCACGAGUUCGACUCUCGUAGACGGCUCCG
rnacentral:tRNA from 4 species